GAUGAACGCUGGCGGCGUGCCUAAUACAUGCAAGUCGAGCGAACAGACGAGGAGCUUGCUCCUCUGACGUUAGCGGCGGACGGGUGAGUCACACGUGGAUACCCUCCUUCUAUUACUGGUAUACCUUCGGGACACCGGAGCUAAUACCGGAUAAUCUCUUGAACCGCAUGGUUCAAUAGUGAAAGACGGUUUUGCUGUCACUCAUAGCUGGUUCCGCGCCGCAUGAGCUAGUUGGUAAGGUAACGGCUUACCAAGGCAACGAUGCGUAGCCGACCUGAGAGGGUGAUCGGCCACACGGGAAUGGAGACACGGUCCAGACUCCUAAGGGAGGCAGCAGUAGGGAAGCUGCCGCAAUGGGCGAAAGCCUGACGGAGCAACGCAGCGUGAGUGAUGAAGGUCUUCGGAUCGUAAAACUCUGUUAUGAGGGAAGAACAAAUGUGUAAGUAACUAUGCACGUCGUGACGGUACCUAAUCAGAAAGCCACGGCUAACUACGUG
rnacentral:rRNA from 1 species